AUUGAACGCUGGCUGCAGGCCUAACACAUGCAAGUCGAGCGGAUGAAGGGAGCUUGCUCCUGGAUUCAGCGGCGGACGGGUGAGUAAUGCCUAGGAAUCUGCCUGGUAGUGGGGGAUAACGUCCGGAAACGGGCGCUAAUACCGCAUACGUCCUGAGGGAGAAAGUGGGGGAUCUUCGGACCUCACGCUAUCAGAUGAGCCUAGGUCGGAUUAGCUAGUUGGUGGGGUAAAGGCCUACCAAGGCGACGAUCCGUAACUGGUCUGAGAGGAUGAUCAGUCACACUGGACCUGAGACACGGUCCAGACUACUACGGGAGGCAGCAGUGGGGAGUAUUGGACUAUGGGCGAAAGCCUGAUCCAGCCAUGCCGCGUGUGUGAAGAAGGUAUUCGGAUUGUAGAGCACUUUAAGUUGGGAGGAAGGGCAGUAAGUUAAUACCGUGCUGUUUUGACGUUACCAACAGAAUAAGCACCGGCUAACUUCGUG
rnacentral:rRNA from 1 species